UCCAAAUCAGCCGCACACUUCCCUCUCUCCUCCUUUUCCUCUUUCAAGCAAAGCUCCAAUAUUCAUCAGCCAUGGCAGAGUAUUGUCUUCCAUUUCCGGUGAACUUUAGCCGUGACAGAGUCAUUUGAACUCAUUUGUGUCGAGAUUCGGAUUUGUUCAUAACGAGAGAGUAUAUUCGAGGCUCCGACGUCCUAGUUCACUGCACCACAAAAUGAGCCAAAGAGUUUCACUUUGAGACUCAACGACACCCUUUACGGAGUCCGCACUUCAUCCGCUGUCUACGAUCUUAAAUUUCCUAAGUAGCGCAUUGCAGAACAUUGGUAUGAAGGCCUUACAUUGGAGUACGCCUCGAUCAACAACGGAUGAGAACCGACGACAUCUCAAAAUGGAGCCAAGAAGUUUAGACAUGACAAACUUGUAUUUACUUUACUUAGAUUAGAAAGUACUUUAUGUUGUAUUCAUUUGAUAUGUAAUAAAAAUUACACUACUUUUGUACUUUAUUUUGGGAAAUAGAAUUUGUU